GGGACUGUAGCUCAGUAGCAGAGCACUUGCCUAGCAUGCAUGAAGCACUGGGUUUAAUCCUCAGCACCA
rnacentral:tRNA from 1 species